ensembl:snRNA U2 U2 spliceosomal RNA
UGAUCUUCUAGGCAGAUAUAGCCGGUUGGCUAAGAUCAAGUGUAGUAUCUGUUAUUAUUAUUAUUAUUAUUAUUAUUAUUAUUAUUAUUAUUAUUAUUAUUAUUAUUAUUAUUACACUUUAUAUUCCACUCUAUCUCCCCGGAGAGACUCAGAGCGGAUUACAGAACACAUAUGAGGCAAACACGACAGACAGAGGUAAAGUUCUUCCCCCU